rnacentral:rRNA from 1 species
GGAGGGUGCGAGCGUUGUUCGGAAUUAUUGGGCGUAAAGCGCGUGUAGGCGGCUCCUUAAGUCUGAUGUGAAAGCCCCGGGCUCAACCUGGGAAGUGCAUUGGAAACUGGGGAACUUGAAUACGGGAGAGGGUAGUGGAAUUCCUGGUGUAGGAGUGAAAUCCGUAGAUAUCAGGAGGAACACCGGUGGCGAAGGCGGCUACCUGGACCGAUAUUGACGCUGAGACGCGAAAGCGUGGGGAGCAAACAGGAUUAGAUACCCUGGUAGUCCACGCCGUAAACGAUGAGUACUAGGUGUUGCGGGUAUUGACCCCUGCAGUGCCGCAGCUAACGCAUUAAGUACUCCGCCUGGGAAGUACGGUCGCAAGACUA